UGGUGUCUAGUUUCGAAAUGAGUAGGGAGCCCCCCAAAGUAGACUAGUUAUAAGGUCAACCUUACGGUUCUACAUUGGAGCCUCGUACAAUUUUACUGCACGGCCCAUUGGGGGUGCGGCGUGGGGAAGCCUCUGAUUUCUAGGCUGCUUAAUUGCGUUCAUAUGAGUAUUGUUCCGUUUGAUGAAGUCAUGAUACCUGCUCCGAUCCAAGCUUCCAGAGAGCAGGAAGGAAGGUUUUCUCCUCCCCUCCCCCCCAGCUGCAAGCCUGACUCUUGCCAUCCGUGUGUCCUUCUGGCCCGAAGCCUUGUUACAGUUCGCCUGGGCCAGCGAUCAAAGCCAGGGUUUGUACCCUCAGCAUGUCCCACCAAUAGGAGGUAGGAGGGACCACACGGAUACCUCCAAAUGUUGAACUGCACAAAGGAAUGGGGACUAUUUCUAGCAUGCUGUUAAUGAGUGGUCUGCAGGAUAUUUUGGUGUCGAAAACGUGAAAUUAAGUCAGAAGAAAACAAUCAUGGGCAGCAGACAUACACGUCAUGCAUGUUUUUUCUUGUUUUGUCCUCUUUGAUUCUGAGGAAAGGAUUUUUGACUGCUUUGGACAGAGCACAGAUACAGGUCUUAUCCAUAUAUGAUGCGUUUUAUAAAUUUUGUUUUGCUAAAAUUUUUUGUUUGUUUGUUUUUGUAUAACUGCUAGGGAAUAAGACAUUCGGGGAGCCUCU